UGUUAGUCGGGUGUUUAAUUAAUUCUCUUUCAUCUUGGGUUGAACUCAAUACAUUUCAUGAGACUCUGUCUACCAUGUCUAAACAUUGCAGGUUCUUCUUCGAAGCCAAUGCACCAGUGUCUUUUGAACAUUGGCCCCAGUAAUCUAAAUUCCACAUUGCAGGGCAAAGAAAAGCUUACUUCAAAUAGAAGGCCUCUUGUUGUCCGAGCAGGUGGGGACAGACCAAGUUCUGCGAGUAUCUUUGCCAGCCACCUCUCUGCUAUUCUUUAUAAGAAAAGCCUGUAAUUGCGGGAUUGGGAGAUGAAGACAAGCCAUUCAUCUGCACUAUGGAUUCAAUUGGAGCCAAAGAGGUGGAUGGGCAAAAUAAUCAGUGAUAAGAUAUGCAUCAGAUGGCACCACUAUUCAAGCAUGAUAGAGGACAAGAUUGAUGCAGACACACAGAAUGGAUGACAUUUUGUUUAAACUACCUGAACAUUAGAUGCAUUUUUAGGGUUGACCACUUUUGGAAUUUGUUUGUAUCUACUAUCACUUGGAUUGACAUAGUGGGAUUUGUUUUUGUAUCUAGUAUAACUAAUGGGAUCGGAUUAAGAUACUCAUUUACU